GAGUUUGAUCCUGGCUCAGGAUGAACGCUAGCGGCAGGCUUAACACAUGCAAGUCGAGGGGUAGAGAGAGCUUGCUUUCUUGAGACCGGCGCACGGGUGCGUAACGCGUAUGCAAUCUACCUUUUACAGAGGGAUAGCCCAGAGAAAUUUGGAUUAAUACCUCAUAGUAUUAUUAAUUGGCAUCAAUUGAUAAUUAAAGCUGAGGCGGUAAAAGAUGAGCAUGCGUUCUAUUAGCUAGGUGGAGUGGUAACGGCACCCCAUGGCAACGAUAGAUAGGGGCCCUGAGAGGGGGAUCCCCCACACUGGUACUGAGACACGGACCAGACUCCUACGGGAGGCAGCAGUGAGGAAUAUUGGACAAUGGGCGAGAGCCUGAUCCAGCCAUGCCGCGUGCAGGAAGACGGUCCUAUGGAUUGUAAACUGCUUUUUAUACGGGAAGAAACACUCCCUCGUGAGGGGGCUUGACGGUACCGUUAAGAAUAAGGAUCGGCUAACUCCGUGCCAGCAGCCGCGGUAAUACGGAGGAUCCAAGCGUUAUCCGGAAUCAUUGGGUUUAAAGGGUCCGUAGGUGGAUAAUUAAGUCAGAGGUGAAAUCCUGCCGCUCAACGGUAGGAUUGCCUUUGAUACUGGUUAUCUUGAAUUAUUAUGAAGUAGUUAGAAUAUGUAGUGUAGCGGUGAAAUGCAUAGAUAUUACAUAGAAUACCAAUUGCGAAGGCAGAUUACUAAUAAUGGAUUGACACUGAUGGACGAAAGCGUGGGGAGCGAACAGGAUUAGAUACCCUGGUAGUCCACGCCGUAAACGAUGGAUACUAGCUGUUCGGAGCAAUCUGAGUGGCUAAGCGAAAGUGAUAAGUGUCCCACCUGGGGAG
rnacentral:rRNA from 1 species